UACGAAGGGGGCUAGCGUUGCUCGGAAUCACUGGGCGUAAAGCGCACGUAGGCGGAUUGCUAAGUCAGGGGUGAAAUCCUGGAGCUCAACUCCAGAACUGCCUUUGAUACUGGCGAUCUUGAGUCCGGGAGAGGUGAGUGGAAUUCCUGGUGUAGCGGUGAAAUGCGCAGAUAUCAGGAGGAACACCAAUGGCGAAGGCAGCUCGCUGGGACGGUACUGACGCUGAGGCGCGAAAGCGUGGGGAGCAAACAGG
rnacentral:rRNA from 1 species